rnacentral:rRNA from 1 species
GAUGAACGCUAGCUACAGGCUUAACACAUGCAAGUCGAGGGGAAACGAUGAGAGAGCUUGCUCUCUUAGGCGUCGACCGGCGCACGGGUGAGUAACGCGUAUCCUACCUACCCAUUACAGGGGGAUAACCUUGCGAAAGUAAGACUAAUACCCCAUGGCAUUUUAUGGUGGCAUCAUUAUAGGAUUAAAGAUUUAUUGGUAAUGGACGGGGAUGCGUCUGAUUAGCUUGUUGGCGGGGUAACGGCCCACCAAGGCAACACACAUUAGGGGUUCUGAGAGGUAGGUCCACAGCAUUGGAACAGGGACACGGUCCAAACUCCUAAGGGAGGCAGCAGUGAAGAAUAUUAGUCAAUGGGCGAGAGCUUGAACCAGCCAAGUAGCAGGCAGGAUGACGGUACUAUGAGUUAUAAACUGCUUUUAUAGGGAAAUAAAGUGAGCUACGUGUAGUUUAUUGCAUGUACCCUAUGAAUAAGGACCGGCUAAUUCCGUG